CCCAUUGUAACACCAGUUCCAGUAAGAACACCGAAGUUAAGCAACUUUGAGCUUGGUCAAUACCUAGAUGGGUGAUUGUUUGGGAAUACUAGGUACUGUAAG